rnacentral:lncRNA from 1 species
AUGAGUUAUACAUUUAAAUUAAUUUAAUCACUCUGUAUUAGAAACUUAACUAUAAUUGUUUAAUUUACAAUUGAAAGAUAGGCGAAAGUAUGAGAGCGACAUUCAAACCCAAAAGUCCGAAAUAAACUGAUAGCGUCAUGGCUAAAAAAAAAGAAAAUCAGUCAAACGAUAGUGCAAAAAAAAAACCACAGAAAAAGUAAGACUGAUCAAUACGAAAAGGCCAAUAGGGUUGUUGACAAAUUAAUG